UUUUGGUGUCCGGUGCUGAGUACUUGAGGCAGUAUUGCAUCCCUGAGAGUGGAAUGACUCCUUGUGGGGUUGGUCCUGGUCUGGGUGCAAACAGUUUUCAUGUUCAAAGA
rnacentral:miRNA from 1 species